UUCAGAAAGGAAGAUAUUCCCAUUUUAAUCCAUCACUCUAUAUUUAAGUGUUUGAAACUGAAAAGAAAGGCAAGCACAAACACCAGACAAAAAAAUAAAAAUAAAAUGGAACCAAAGUCCUUCCAAUAUUUUUGUUUCCUUCUAGUGAUCUUCAGCCUUGUAAUAGCGCAGCUCAGCGACAGGGUUUCAUCGAAAACUAAUGAAUGCAAUGGUUCAAUAGCAGAAUGCAGUGAAGAGUAUGAGUUCUUGAUGCCAUCUGAUAUUAGUAAAAGGUUUCUUGAAGAGAAGAGAAAGUAUAUAUCACCUGGUGCUUUGAAGCCAAACCGACCAGUUUGUAAUGGUGGUGCUAGUGGUCAGUCAUACAGUAGCAGUUGUCUUCCACCUCCAUCUAAUCCUCCUUCUCGCGGUUGUUCCAAGUACUAUCAUUGUAGGAGAAAAGAAGAAGAAGAAGAAGAAGAAGAUCCAUCUGUUACACUAUGUUCCUGAGUUCAAAAGGAAAAAUUAGGAUUGUAUUCCUUUUUCAUUUUAAUCCCAGAGGGAUAUAUAAAGUGAAACAUAAUCCACAGUUCAAAUUU